CCUGUCCCUGCCCCUGGCCCUUCCUGUGUACCUGUCCCUGAGGCUGGCCCUGCCCCAAGACCACAGAGCGGGACGAAGAGGAAGAGAGCCAGGGUACCAGAGGGGAACA